GAUGAACGCUGGCGGCGUGCCUAAUACAUGCAAGUCGAGCGAACAGACGAGGAGCUUGCUCCUCUGACGUUAGCGGCGGACGGGUGAGUAACACGUGGAUAACCUACCUAUAAGACUGGGAUAACUUCGGGAAACCGGAGCUAAUACCGGAUAAUAUCUUGAACCGCAUGGUUCAAUAGUGAAAGACGGUUUUGCUGUCACUUAUAGAUGGAUCCGCGCCGCAUUAGCUAGUUGGUAAGGUAACGGCUUACCAAGGCGACGAUGCGUAGCCGACCUGAGAGGGGGAUAGGCCACACUGGAACUGAGACACGGUCCAGACGCCUACGGGAGGCAGCAGUAGGGAAUCUUACGCAAUGGGCGAAAGCUUGACGGAGCAACGCCGCGUGAGUGAUGAAGGUCUUCGGAUCGUAAAACUCUGUUAUUAGGGAAGAACAAAUGUGUAAGUAACUAUGCACGUCUUGACGGUACCUAAUCAGAAAGCCACGGCUAACUACGUG
rnacentral:rRNA from 1 species